rnacentral:rRNA from 1 species
UAGGGAAUCUUCGGCAAUGGGCGAAACCCUGACGCAGCAACGCCGCGUGGGUGAUGACGGCCUUCGGGUCGUAAAGCCCUGUCGGGCGGGAAGAACGUCCCUUCGGGGAAUGACGGUACCGCCAGAGGAAGCACCGGCUAACUCCGUGACAGCAGCCGCGGUAAAACGUAGGAGGCUAGCGUUAUCCGGAUUUAUUGGGCGUAAAGCGCGUGCAGGCGGUCUAGUUAGUUGGAUGUGAAAGCUCCUGGCUUAACUGGGAGAGGUCGUUCAAUACUGCUAGACUAGAGAAUGGGAGAGGGAGGUGGAAUUCCGGGUGUAGUGGUGAAAUGCGUAGAUAUCCGGAGGAACACCAGUGGCGAAAGCGGCCUCCUAGACCACUUCUGACGCUAAGACGCGAAAGCUAGGGUAGCAAACG